UAAUACGUAGGUGGCAAGCGUUGUCCGGAUUUAUUGGGUUUAAAGGGUGCGUAGGCGGCCCUGUAAGUCAGUGCUGAAAUCCCCCGGCUUAACCGGGGUGGUGGCAUUGAUACUGCAGGGCUUGAGUACAGAUGAGGUAGGCGGAAUUGACGGUGUAGCGGUGAAAUGCAUAGAUAUCGUCAAGAACACCGAUAGCGAAGGCAGCUUACUGGGCUGUAACUGACGCUGAUGCACGAAAGUGUGGGGAUCAAACAGGAUUAGAUACCCUGGUAGUCCACACUGUAAACGUUGAUUACUCGCUGUUUGCGAUACACAGCAAGCGGCUUAGCGAAAGCGAUAAGUAAUCCACCUGGGGAGUACGCCGGCAACGGUG
rnacentral:rRNA from 1 species